rnacentral:lncRNA from 12 species
UCCCCUUUUGUCUACAUCAUAUAUGAAGGAAGUUGUCCUGAUUCCAAAUUCUUUACUUCAGGCUGCCUCCGGAAUUGCCAGCCAGCCUGUGGGUGGGAUGCCCUGGGGUCAGGUGCCCAAUUCUGGUCCCAUCAUAGGCUAGUCCUGGACAAAGAGCAGCUGAGCUUCACUCCCUGAGAGAGGCGGGACCACAGGCACUUUCAAGGUAACAAAGUCCCUGGAAUGCCCCUUCCACUCAUGCCCGGGAGGUGAAUAACUCACGGCAGUCUACCAGGAGUGCCGUGUGGAAGCCAGCACUCCCAUCUUCUCUUUGUCCUGGCUCCAGUGCCCCAACCCCUUGUCCCACCCUUCUGAAAAGAGGCAGCAGGAGGAAAGAACCAGCAGUGGUUUCCAGCUCAUCUUCUCCUGAAAUUGUGAUGGUCCCAGACAGGAAGAUAGAGAAAUGUCUUUUGAAAAGCUUCUCUCCAGGGCAUUCUGCUUCUUUUUCCCACUCCCUUCGGAUCUUCCUGAGGACGACUCAGCUAAACUGUCGUCUCUAAACUUUUUUGAUCAGGCAUGCCAUGGAUGAAAAAUUUUAAGUAGUAUCCUGGACAUUUGGCUAUUUAUUCCAAAAUCGUCAUCGGGCUCCCAGCGUGGAGCCUGCUUCUCCCUCCUCCUGUGUCUCUGCCUCUCUUUCUCUCUCUAUGUCUAUCAUAAAUAAAUAAAUAAAUAAAUAAAUAAAUAAAUCUUAA